UACGUAGGGGGCAAGCGUUGUCCGGAAUCAUUGGGCGUAAAGAGCGUGUAGGCGGCUCGAUAAGUCCGCUGUGAAAGUCCAGGGCUCAACCCUGGAAGGCCGGUGGAAACUGUCGGGCUAGAGUGCGGAAGAGGCGAGUGGAAUUCCUGGUGUAGCGGUGAAAUGCGCAGAUAUCAGGAGGAACACCAAUUGCGAAGGCAGCUCGCUGGGACGUUACUGACGCUGAGACGCGAAAGCGUGGGGAGCAAACGGG
rnacentral:rRNA from 1 species